rnacentral:misc_RNA from 1 species
UCCGGUUUGUCACCGGCAGUCUCCCUAGAGUGCCCUUGCGUAGCAACUAGGGACAAGGGUUGCGCUCGUUGCGGGACUUAACCCAACAUCUCACGACACGAGCUGACGACAGCCAUGCAGCACCUGUGUUACGGCUCCCUUUCGGGCACACCCCCAUCUCUGAGGGCUUCCGUACAUGUCAAGGGUAGGUAAGGUUAUUCGCGUUGCAUCGAAUUAAUCCACAUCAUCCACCGCUUGUGGUUUAAUUCGACGCAACGCGCAGAACCUUACCAGCCCUUGACAUCCCGGUCGCGGACUCCAGAGACGGAGUCCUUCAGUUCGGCUGG